UGUUGUUAUAUAUAUUAUACCUCAAUCCAAAGACAUCUUGUUUCAAUAGAUUCUUAGUGCCUCUGUCCUCAGAGAGAGAGGAGAAAUGGCAGAGGACAGCCUCAGAGUACGGUACCUUCUUAGCCUAUCACGGGAGCAGAGUAGAGAACUUUCACCCAAUCGCACACAACGGACUCCUCAGUCACAUUAACAAGGUCAAUAUAUUUGGAGAGGGAACAUACCUCUCUACUGAGCUCUCAGUUUGUAUGAAUUUCAGUCCCUCAGCCACCAGCUGGACCAAGAGCUCCCUCCCUCCAUUGUGUAGCAAUGAUGGCUGUCUGUGAGGUGGACUCUCACCCUGAUAUAAGGUCUAGGGUACAACAUGGCAGUGAACCUUCCUUUAAUCAGAAAGUGCCGGAGAGAUACUUUGUAGUGACAGAUGAUGGGAUAUAUGUUGAGAGUUUAAGUACAUUCUUGUCUUUGCACACAAAAGAGUGAGACCAAGUCCUACCAGAAGAUGGUUUUCCAACCACAAAUGGAUUACUGGUGGUCUUUCUCUAUCUGUUCCUUCUCCUUUUUCUUGGUCUGUGGAAUUCUCACUAUGCCUCAAAACUUUAUAAUCAAUACACAAGAAGAUAUAUAACAUUGUAACUACAGUUAACCUUCAUUUAUUAACAUAUGAUACAAAAUAGAAUGUUUAUGAAUUGAUUUAUGAUAUUAAAAGUAAAUAAAAA